rnacentral:rRNA from 1 species
UUAUGGUAGGAUUAAUAAGUAGGGAAAAAAUUAGAAAUUCCUAUCGAAGCCAAAUUUUAAAGAGUUAAAUCUUUGAAUUUUGGUUUAAUACUUUGAACAAAAUAGCGUGUUCAAAACAGGCAUUUAUUUAAAGCCUUGAAUAUAUUAGCAUGGGAUAUUCGAAAAUGACUUUCAAUAAAGUUCUUAUUGGUCUUUAUUUAAAGUAAUGAUUAAUGGGGAUUGAUGGAGUCACUCUUAUUUAAUGGAUAGAGGUGAAAUUCUAUGACCCAUUAAAGAAGAACUGAAGCGAAAGCAUUUGACAAAAAUGUUUUCUUUAAUCAAGAACGAAAGUUGUAGGAUCGAAGAUGAUUAGAUACCGUCGUAGUUACAACAGUAAACUAUGUCGACUUAGGAUAGGACAAAGUUACAUGGAUGACUUAUCCUGCGCUAAUCGAGAAAUCAAAGUUACUAGACUCCGGGGGGAGUAUGGUCGCAAGGCUGAAACUUAAAAGAAUUGACGGAAGGGCACCACCAGGCGUGGAACCUGUGGCUUAAUUUGACACAACGCGAGAAAACUUACCAGUUCAGGACAUAAAAAGGAUUGACAGAUUGAUUGUUCUUUCAUGAUAUUAUGAAAGGUGGUGCAUGGCCGUUUUUAGUUCGUGGAGUGAUUUGUCUGGUUAAUUCCGUUAACGAACAAGACCUUAUCUUGUUAACUAGACAUUUCUAUAGAUUGACUUUGAAAAGGUUUCUUCUUAGAAUUUUCGGAUUUAAAACCCGGAAUUUUUAAUGAAAUUCCUUGGAUUAAUUUUCAAUUUUCUUUAAAAAGGAAUUGGAAUUUAGUUCUAGUUUAGACAAAUAGAGUGGCUUCUUAGAAGGACUAUUCACUUUUAGUGAAUGGAAGAAUGACAAUAACAGGUCUGUGAUGCCCUUAGAUGUACUGGGCCGCACGCGCGUUACAAUGGAUGACUCAAUGAGCUUAACCUGGCCUUAAAAGGUUUAGGAAAUCUCUAAAAAUUAUUCGUGAUUGGAAUAGUGUUUUGCAAUUAUUGCACUUGAACGAGGAAUGCCUUGUAAGAGUUUGUCAUUAACAAACUCUGAAUAAGUCCCUGCCCUUUGUACACACCGCCCGUCGCUCCUACCGAUUGAGGUUUGAGGUGAGGACUUGGGACGAAUUAUUGAAAUUGAAAAAUUUAGAUGAAUUUUCGAAAGAAAAUUAUGUUAUGAACAUGUUCAAAUCUUGAUACUUAGAGGAAGGAGAAGUCGUAACAAGGUCUCCGUAGGUGAACCUGCGGAGG